rnacentral:rRNA from 1 species
UACGAAGGGAGCUAGCGUUGUUCGGAAUCACUGGGCGUAAAGCGCACGUAGGCGGAUGCGGGCGUCGGUGCGGAAAGGUCGCCGCUUAACGGCGGAGAGCGUACCGAUACGCCGCGUCUGGAGCGCGGGCGAGGGUGGUGGAAUUGCCGGUGUAGUGGUGAAAUGCGUAGAGAUCGGCAGGAACACCCGUGGCGCAAGCGGCCACCUAGCCCGUUGCUGACGCUGAGGCGCGACAGCGUGGGGAGCGAACUGG